GGAGCGCCCCACCCCCCAGGGAUCCAGCCACACCCCCUUCCACGCCUCCUAGGAUCGAAGCCCACCCCACUCUUCAGCUCUUGCAGGUCUGAGUCCCACCUUCCUCCCCUGAGCACUGGUGAGUGCCGGCAAUCUGUAAUUCCCGCGUCGCACCUUCCUUGAUGCGUAGCUGACGGAGACCCAGGUGCACUCGCUACUAUGUCCUGGUCCGGAGUCCGGAGGCACUGCCCUGGAGAAGGGCGAUUGUUAGUUCUCUACGUGCGAGGCUGCAGCGCCCUCUGGGCGAGGACACCCAGGGGUCCUCCAGGUGACCGCAGGCCUAACCAGCUGCGGAGCUCCAGUUGAAUUCCUGUUCCUUCAUGAUUCUCUAUGGGGCCUGGACCUCACAGUUUCCAACGUCCUUCAGACGUGUCAGUCCAAAAAGGAGCCCAGAGAGCCUACAGGCGAGGCAGAUAGCAGCGAGAGCAAGGAGGAAGAACCAGCCCUGUCUUGCCCUCAAUCUGUAGAUGGUGCCAAAGGCCCUUUGCACCUGCAAGGCAGGGGCCAUAGAUGGCAUCCAUCCUUGUUCCUCAGCCCCACAUCAGCUGGCCUGGACUGAGAAGCUAGAUCUGAGGCUCAGCGUCUCGGGAAGUCCCCAGUGUAGACUCUACACUGUGGAACCAGCCUUCUGGGAAUUCAACAGCCUCCUUUACACACACCACACCUCCAGCAGUAGCCCAACAACCAGCACCCAGUUGUGUUUGAACACUUUUGUCCUCAGGAAACUCUCCCUUUUGGCGUCUCAGCUGCCCUAGGUCUAACUAUGGGCUACAUACAGAUCCUGCCCAGUUCUUGCCUAGAUCCUUGAGGGUCUUGGUAAAGAAUACCCAAUAGCAAGGCUCAGGAAGGCUUAGGACCUAAAAAGCAGGUGCCUCCUAACACAGUGGCUUUGGGAUCUGAAGUCAGCUCUUCAGUCCUUUGAGCCUGAUAUUUGGAGGAAAAUAGGACACUUUGGUAUUUUACCUUCCUGUCCUCUCAAAAUGGGGGCGGGAGGGGGGGGGGGAGACGGGAACAGGAAGGGACUGAUGAGGCUGUUUCAUGUUUUAAACAUGACCAGCUUGAUCUUUCCUUCCAACUGCAUAAGUUUAGCCCAGAUCAAUGAGACAGUAAAGAGGCAACGAAGACGACUCCUAUAGGGAGACCCCAAGAAAGGCACAUAAAGAAAGGAGGCUAUGGUCCUGUUGACCUCAGAGCCCAGGCACCCUACAUGGCUUGUGAUUCCUCCCUGUCCUCAAUAUGCAAGAGGUUGGAGAGAUGGCUCAGGGGUUAAGAGCACUGACUAUUCUUCCAGAGGAUCAGGGUUCAAUUCCCAGCACCUGUAUGGCGACUUACAGCUGUCUAUAACUCCAGUACCAGAGGAUACAACAUCCUCACACGGACAUACAUGCCUUGAUAUGGAUGGACAUUUUAUGUCCUCUCGGUUGGACUCAGAUCAAGUUACGGGAGCUGUGGUGUGAGUUUCCUCAUCAUUCCCAUCAUAAAACAUCUUGCUGAAGCUUUUUGUUGCUACCUGGUUAGGAAGAGCAUCUCUGGUCGCCUCUCAGCCUGUUCUCCAUCCCUUUCUCAGAUGGUUCCCUAACUAGGCCAUUGAGGUGCCUUAGCCGGAACAAUGUGCUCUUGUACAAGCUUGAUAAACCACCGCACUUGGCUCCCUGGAACCCACCCAAAGGUGGAAGGGGAGAAUCAACUUACAGAACUGUCCUCUGUCCACACAUCCUCCCUUCACACAGUAACAAUAGAUACUUUUUUUUAAUCCCCUAAAAUUAAGAUGUGUUCAUAGCUACAGCAAGUAAAGAUGACCUUUUCCAGCA